UUCCCAGCUGUUCAUGCACUACAACUCCCAUCAUCCCUAACCCCUGGUCCUGCUAGCUAGGGGUGAUGGGAGUUGUAGUCCAAGAACAGCUGAGGA